rnacentral:ribozyme from 1 species
AUUAAAAUGCUCUGCAAAGGGGAUAAGGAACCGAAGCCUCCAGAUAGGCUAGCACAGGCUCUCCUACCCAACUCCUAUCCCGUCACGUCCACGUUCGUGCAGAGCGGUAACAUGCAUCGCCUCUGCGAGUGAAGUUCGGAAUGCCAUCAUUCUUGGCUCCUUUCAGACACCUUACAGGCGAUGCAUGGCUAAGCCGGGAAGG